UAGAUGCUAGUCACAUGGGUCUAGUCAGUC
rnacentral:piRNA from 1 species